GUGAAGUGAUGAAUCAGUUUAUCCAUUCGCUGAGCAGCGGCGUCAUGUCAAAGUCUGCGCCUCUGCUCCCGUUCUGGGGGCGGGGCUUCUCCGCUGCGGUGAUGGCGGCGUCCUGGCGUUCUGCCGGGCGACGACCCGAACCGCACGGAGAGAAGGACUCGACUCGACCGCCGCCGAGACGACUUCCUGUUCUGAUCAC